rnacentral:rRNA from 1 species
AUUGAACGCUGGCGGCAUGCUUUACACAUGCAAGUCGAACGGUAACAGGCCUUCGGGUGCUGACGCGUGGCGAACGGGUGAGUAAUUCAUCGGAACGUACCCAGAGCUUGGGUAUAACGCAGCGAAAGCUGUGCUAAUACCGCAUGUGAUCUGAGGAUGAAAGCGGGGGACCGAGCAGCAAUGUUUCGCCUCGCGCCUUUGGAGCGGCCGGUUUGGGAUUUGCUAGUUGGUGGGGUAGAUGCCUACCAAGGCGACGAUCCGUAGCUGGGCUGAGAGGACGAACAGCGACAGUGGGACUGAGAGGCGGCCGAGGGUCCUAGGGGAGGCAGCAGUGGGGAAGUUUGGAAAAAGGGCGGAAGCCUGAUCCAGCAAUGGAGCGUGCGGGAAGAAGGCCUGCGGGUUGUAAACCGCUUUUGGCAGGAACGAAACGGUGUCCGCUAAAAGCGGGCGCUAAGGACGGAACCUGCAGAAUAAACACCGGCUAACUACGU